rnacentral:rRNA from 1 species
GAUGAACGCUGGCGGCGUGCCUAAUACAUGCAAGUCGAGCGAACAGACGAGAAGCUUGCUUCUCUGAUGUUAGCGGCGGACGGGUGAGUAACACGUGGAUAACCUACCUAUAAGACUGGGAUAACUUCGGGAAACCGGAGCUAAUACCGGAUAAUAUUUUGAACCGCAUGGUUCAAAAGUGAAAGACGGUCUUGCUGUCACUUAUAGAUGGAUCCGCGCUGCAUUAGCUAGUUGGUAAGGUAACGGCUUACCAAGGCAACGAUGCAUAGCCGACCUGAGAGGGUGAUCGGCCACACUGGAACUGAGACACGGUCCAGACUCCUACGGGAGGCAGCAGUAGGGAAUCUUCCGCAAUGGGCGAAAGCCUGACGGAGCAACGCCGCGUGAGUGAUGAAGGUCUUCAGAUCGUAAAACUCUGUUAUUAGGGAAGAACAUAUGUGUAAGUAACUGUGCACAUCUUGACGGUACCUAAUCAGAAAGCCACGGCUAACUACGUG